UCACCGUUGGCUGGGUGUGACAAACACGUUCAUUUUUUGCCUCCUCUUUUCCCAGUGUCACCUUCUGCGUCACGUGAAGAAAAUCCUGCAUGGUUUAUUCCGCUUGCUGCUCAGGUCAUCGCACGUAUAGGGCUGGGGGAGCGGGAAGAAACAUUUUGCGAGUUCGGGGGCACUACAGAUACUCCACAUCAAACCCACAGAAAAGGCAAAUUUGCUGCUAGUGCAGAAAAGGUGACGAAAAACUGCAGUUAACAGAGCGUGCCCUGUUCUGAAUUGGUCCCUUGAUAUGUUUUUGUUUCAGGUGAAAGAAUGAAUUUCCAUCUAUGAUAAAUUCAGAGCUGCCUGUUAGCUUCUUUAGGGUCAAGUGUUUAUCUUCUCUUUGUUCAUACUGAUUUUAUGGCUGGAUGUCAGCUGGCACCGUUUCACCAUGGUUGCCCUUUCUUCUGUCAUGACAGAUGGAAAGAAUCCAUAGUGGUCUGCAAGUACAAGGCUUUCCCAAGAAGCAUUAGCAGCCUUGUAACUAGUGACAGUGAGUCCUGAGGUAUUUUUGGUGAGUUACUGCUUCAGUGUCUUUUUUUCCUUAACCUACAGUGUGUAAUUUUGACUUCAGUUGGAAAGAGAUUUUCCAAAAUGGAAGUCUUUCCCACUCAAAGAAAUUUCAUUUUAUGAACUUCCCAUCAGAGUGGAUCUUCAGAGGUGAUCGACUUGACAGUAGAAGUCAUCAGUAAGAAGACUUUUCACUCUCUUUUCUUAAAGAAAAAAAAGUCAAUUUCCUUCCAAAGACCCAAGCACAGCACAUCUUCCUAAAGUUGAUGGCAUCGCUGGUCUUUGGGUUCUCAGUUUUAACAGUCGAGAUAACAUGAAAAUGUGUUGCUCUGCAUGCUUCAGUACAGCUGAAAGCAUUAGCAAAUCUGCCAGUCGUUUUUGGUAGUCUGAGGUAUUGCAGCACUGGGGAUUUUACAAACUGACUUGCAUU